rnacentral:rRNA from 1 species
AGUGAACGCUGGCGGCGUGCCUAAUACAUGCAAGUCGAACGAAGUGGCGGCCGGGUGAGUAAUAUAUAGUUAAUCUGCCCUACACAGAGGAACAACAGUUGGAAACGACUGCUAAUACCUCAUAGUGUAGGAUGAGACUAUAUCGUAUCAGCUAGUUGGUAAGGUAAUGGCUUACCAAGGCUAUGACGAGUAACUGGUCUGAGAGGAUGAUCAGUCACAUUGGAACGGAGACACGGUCCAGACUCCUACGGGAGGGAGCAGUAGGGAAUAGUGGGCAAUGGGGGAAACCCUGACGCAGCAACGGCGCGUGGAGGAUGACACUUGUCGGAGCGUAUACUCCUUUUAUCAGGAAAACGUUACCUGAUGAAUAAGCACCGGCUAACUCCGUGCCAGCAGCCGCGGUAAUUC